GAUGAACGCUGGCGGCGUGCCUAAUACAUGCAAGUCGAGCGAACGGACGAGAAGCUUGCUUUUCUGAUUUUAGCGGCUGACGGGUGAGUAACACAUGGAUAACCUACCUAUAAGACUGGGAUAACUUCGGGAAACCGGAGCUAAUACCGGAUAAUAUUUUGAACCGCAUGGUUCAAAAGUGAAAGACGGUCUUGCUGUCACUUAUAGAUGUAUCCGCGCUGCAUUAGCUAGUUGGUAAGGUAACGGCUUACCAAGGCAACGAUGCAUAGCCGACCUGAGAGGGUGAGCGGCCACACUGGAACUGAGACACGGUCCAGACUCCUACGGGAGGCAGCAGUAGGGAAUCUUCCGCAAUGGGCGAAAGCCUGACGGAGCAACGCCGCGUGAGUGAUGAAGGUCUUCGGAUCGUAAAACUCUGUUAUUAGGGAAGAACAUAUGUGUAAGUAACUGUGCACAUCUUGACGGUACCUAAUCAGAAAGCCACGGCUAACUACGUG
rnacentral:rRNA from 1 species